rnacentral:tRNA from 1 species
GGCCUCGUGGCUCAGUUGGCUAGAGCGUUGGUUAUACUAAAGCUGGCGUGGGUUCGAAUCCCACCGAGGCUG